GCAGAGUCAAUGUGCGGGGGCACCGGCUAGUUGAGGUAGUUGAAGUAAUAUGUACAUGUACUUUGAUUAAUUGUGCGUUACCAUAGUACAAUGGAGGUAUAAUGCAUUAAAUAAAUAAACCCCCCAAGGUCAAAAGAGGUUGGUUGGUAUUAUAUUGAUGAAUGUAUAAACCAGUAUGGGCAAGGUUCUGAUCAAGUCAGAGGCGGGCUACUAUUGUUGGCCCUAGUUUGUCUGUAACAUCAAAGUUUAAGGGAAAUAGUUGCUAUGAAAAAGGGUUAAUACUUUCUGUAUUAGUACCGUUUUCUGCUCAUGUUUGGGUUCCCUAUGUUGCCAACCUGAAAUGUGGGAGAAUGUGAGAUACAGUAUUGUAGCCUAAUCUUUGGCAUUUUUUAAUCAUUUAUAGUAUUUAUAGUCAAGGGGUGUUGUGCUUGUUUCGGCCUGCAGAGGGAGCCGCUCGCUCUAGUGGCUGCUUCACGCGCUCUCACUGGCUCUCGCGCUAGCCUGCCGAGUCAGUUGAAUGAGAGCGCCAACUGAAAACUGAAGAGAGAAGAACCAGAUAAACGACAUAUUUUAAACGUUAUCAUCACGAAUUGUAUAGGAGCCAAGUCAGUUGAAUGAGAGAGAGAGACAACUGAAAACUGUAUUGAAGAGAGAGACACCAGAUAAACUAUUUUAAAUCUU